GGCUUCUUGGUAUAGUGGUAGCAUGGCCGCUUCGGGCAAUCCCGCUCCAAUAGGAGCAUACGAUUGCGGUCGACCCGGGUUCGAUUCCCGGAGAAGCCC